GGUCCCAUAGUUCAGUCCGGCAGAACGCUGCAUUGUCAGUGCAGAGGUCAGGGGUUCAAAUCCCCUUGGGACCGCCA
rnacentral:tRNA from 1 species